CUUAUAAAGAGUGGUGGAGGGACUAGGCCCUAAGAAACCCGGCAACCGGCGUGCACGGUGCUACAUCCUACAGGAAACUGGAAGAUAAGG
rnacentral:ncRNA from 1 species